rnacentral:rRNA from 1 species
AUGCUUCCCUCCAUCCUUUCAAAGUCGAGAAACGCGCCGUCACCCGCCGGACACCGCCGCCGUCUCCGUCGUCUCAUCUCCUCUUCCCUCGGCAGGGCUACAACCCUCCCCCCCACCACCGCCAUUGCAGCAACGCCACCUCCAAGCACCAACUGCCACCUCGCUUCUUCCACUCAUUCCUACCACCACUACACCUCCAUCCUCCAAUCCUGCGUCGCCGCUGGUUCCCUGCGCGCAGGCAGGCAGCUCCAUGGCAGGCUCCUCGUCUCGGGCCUCGGCCCUGACACGGUCUUGUCCACCAAGCUCGUCGACCUGUACUCUGCCUGCGGCCAUGUUGGGCAGGCGCGCCGCCUGUUUGACGGAAUGCCCAAGCGGAACGUGUUCCUGUGGAACGUGCUGAUCAGGGCCUACGCGCGGGAGGGGCCCCACGAGGCCGCGGUGCAGCUCUAUUAUGGGAUGGCGGAGCACGGCGUGGAGCCGGAUAACUUCACGUACCCGCUGGUGCUCAAGGCGUGCGCGGCGCUCCUGGACCUGGAGACCGGGAGGGAGGUGCACGAGCGCGUCUCGGGCACGCGGUGGGGCCAGGAUGUGUUUGUGUGCGCCGGCGUUGUUGACAUGUACGCCAAGUGCGGGUGUGUGGACGAUGCUCGAGCGGUGUUUGAUGGGAUCGCGGUGAGAGACGCUGUCGUGUGGAAUUCGAUGAUUGCUGCAUAUGGGCAGAAUGGGCGACCCAUGGAGGCGCUUUCAUUGUGCCGUGACAUGGCUUCUAAUGGUGUUGGGCCCACAAUCGCUACUCUGGUGAGUACAAUAUCAGCGGCGGCUGAUGCCGCUGCUCUGCCUAGAGGGAGAGAGCUGCAUGGGUUUGGUUGGAGGAGGGGAUUUGGGCGGCAGGAUAAGCUGAAAACUUCCCUUCUGGACAUGUAUGCCAAGAGUGGGUGGGUGCAGGUGGCUCGUGUUCUCUUUGAGCAACUUAUGAAGAGGGAACUUGUUUCUUGGAAUGCCAUGAUAUGUGGAUACGGGAUGCAUGGCCAUGCUGACGAAGCACUUGAACUGUUUAACAAAAUGAGGGGAGAUGCUCAAGUGACUCCUGACAACAUCACUUUUGUUGGGGUUUUAUCUGCCUGCAACCAUGGAGGGAUGGUAGAAGAAGCAAGAGAGUUCUUUGGUCUGAUGGUUGAUGUGUACUCCAUCAAGCCAACAGUGCAGCAUUACACUUGCCUUGUAGAUGUUCUUGGUCACACCGGUAGGUUUGAGGAAGCAUAUGACCUUAUUAAAGGAAUGUCUAUCAAACCAGAUUCAGGAAUAUGGGGGGCACUUCUCAAUGGUUGUAAGAUCCACAAAAAUGUUGAACUAGGUGAGCUAGCCCUGCAGAAGUUGAUUGAGCUCGAGCCUGAAGAUGCUGGUAAUUAUGUCCAUCUAUCAAAUAUCUAUGCUCAGUCUGGGAAAUGGGAAAACGCUGCAAGGGUGAGAAAGCUAAUGACCAAUAGAGGCCUGAAAAAAAUCCUCGCUUGCAGUUGGAUUGAGUUGAAAGGAAAAACUCAUGGAUUUCUAGUUGGGGAUGCAUCUCAUCCUAGAUCAGAUGAAAUAUAUGAAGAGCUAGAGAGAUUGGAAGGUCUCAUGAGUGAUGCUGGCUACGUGCCUGACACAAUGCCAGUUUUCCACAAUGUGGAUGAUGAUGAAAAGAGGAAUAUGGUGAGAAGCCACAGUGAGAGGUUGGCCAUUGCGUUUGGGCUCAUUAGUACACCUCCUGGGACAAAGCUUCUUGUGACUAAGAAUCUUCGAGUUUGCGAGGACUGUCAUGUUGUUAUCAAACUGAUUUCACAGAUUGUGCAGCGUGAGAUCAUCAUAAGAGAUGUUAACCGCUACCAUCACUUUGUAAAUGGUGAAUGCUCUUGCAAAGACUACUGGUAG